CCUGCGCACUGAACCCACGCAAGGCAACCUGGGAUAUGUAGUUCGAUGAACGUGGGUGCAGUCCCUGAGAAUGGUAGGCCUGGGCUUCGUCCUGCCGCUCCACAAAACAGUGCCUAAUGGGAAGUUUCAUGGGGGUCAGUGACGCCGACGAGGCCAGUGGUGUUUGGGAGCAGAACUUGGAUUCCAGCCUAACAGGUGAGGCCUCGGUCCAAGGUCAGGUGAACAAGUAAACGGCCGGAAGUUCGCGCGGCUGCUUCUGGGAGUGGUAGUUUGAUACAUGUCUGUGCAGGCUCAGUCCCAGCCAGCGAACGUGGACUUUGUCCCACCGGUGGUUGAAAGGCUGCGCUUGGGAGGUUUCCAGUGGAACGGCAGCGCUACGGUCCAUGGGGGUCUGGCGGCAGACUUUGGAGUCCAGUUUAACGGUUUAGGCCGCUGCCGUGGGUGGGGUGAACGCGGAAUCCACAGGAAGCGCGCGCGCCUCUCUAUGGGUAAUGUAGUUCAGGCUGAAUAACGCUAAGAUCCGCAGCCUUUGUCCUGCGGUGUAACGGUAAGUGGGCCUGGUCCCAGGCGGAACCGCUGAGACAGACGGAAGUUGACGAAGUCUUCCCGGAUUCUGACCUUGCUACAGUGGUUCCAGAAUCCAGGUACGACCAAUCUGGAGUAACUAGGCGAGCACAAGGGGCAGUGGUCCCAGUCGCCCAACUGCGCAGGCGCAGUUCUGACCAGUUCGCUAAGGGGACUUGGUUAGGUCAACGAGAUACGUGGUGUACACGUCAGGGACUGUCGCGCAGGCAGAGGAUCCCGCCACCUCGCUGGAGCUUCAGGCGUGAACUGCCUGCAGAAAAAGCCGGCUGUUCCUGCAAGAGACCAGAGGAGGAGGGAAUGACUGCUGGGUUCCUGGAUGUGGGGUUGCUGGAGCAAGUGACCUUUGAGGACGUGGUCGUGGACUUUACUCAGGAGGAGUGGGGGCAGCUGACACCUGCCCAGAGGACCCUGUACCGUGAUGUGAUGCUGGAGACCUUUGGGCUCCUAGUCUCUGUGGCCACAUGGGUCCUGAAAGAGUGAAGGGAGAGUGGGCAGAGGUUUGGGUUAUGGUUCAUAAAUGCUCACUGCCUGGAUCUCACCCUGAGCAGGACAUUGGCUCCCGAAGCCCCUGCUCAUCUCCCUGCUGGAGCAGAAAGCAGAGCCAUGGCCUGUGGGUGAGGAGGUUCCACAAGGUGUGUGUCCAGAUUUAGAAACUAGAUCGAAAA